GGACUGUGGCUCAGUGGGAGAGCAUCCGUCUUGCAUGCAUAAGGUCUCAGGUUUGAUCCCCAGCAUCUCCA